rnacentral:rRNA from 1 species
UACGUAGGGUGCGAGCGUUAAUCGGAAUUACUGGGCGUAAAGCGUGCGCAGGCGGGCUUUUAAGCCAGACGUGAAAUCCCCGGGCUUAACCUGGGAAUGGCGUUUGGGACUGGAAGUCUGGAGUGCGGCAGAGGAGACUGGAAUUCCUGGUGUAGCAGUGAAAUGCGUAGAUAUCAGGAGGAACACCGAUGGCGAAGGCAGGUCUCUGGGCUGACACUGACGCUGAGGAGCGAAAGCAUGGGUAGCGAACAGG